rnacentral:misc_RNA from 1 species
UGUGAACAUCCCUACUAUUUUUGAGAUCACACCAAUACUAAGGGAAACAAAUGACAAUGUGAACAGAGGUGAAGUAAUAAAGCCGAACGAUCGAGUCGUCCCUUUUCGAUUACGACCAGCAAGCAGACAACAUCUUCUUUCAUUUAGCUCCGACCGAUACCUGUCUUUCGCGUGGUUAUCAGUGGCGACGGGGAUAUUGGAAGUUUUUGCUUACUGUCCGGGAGUUUGGUAAAAUCGGGUAAUUAAAACACGCAGUGAAAACGGCGAACUACAACCGGUAAAACCAUUUUUCGAGACAGAGCGAAAACACGUGUUUUCUUUUGUUUGAGUGACGGGCUCAAAAGUGAACAUUUUGUUUUUGGUGCGGCACAAUUUUUUUUCCUUCUGCUCGUCUGCUUAGUGGUGGCCUUGGCAGUAAAAUUCGAUCUCCAGCUGGAGUAAAAGUGCGGUAGGCCGGCAGAAAUCCGGAAAAAGGUGUGCAGCACGUAAUAAUCGUUUAACAUAGCGGAAAACGUCCGGCGGAAGGCUGUUCCGGUAGAACUUUCUACGGUUCCGGCUGGGGUUCUCGCAUUGAAAGGUGGUGUGUGCUGCGGAGGAACAAAAGGACGACGUCAUUUUGUUGGAGCUGGUCCGACAUUGGUAAAGCAGGCGGUGCGCAUUAGUGGUUGCGUUUAAACGGUUCUUGGUCCGAGUCGUGCUAGCUUUACGUGAUUUUGGCCGGCAUCUGGGCGAGCAACAGGACAACGAGCUCGAUUGGUCAUCUGUGAGGACGCGCUGUGUAGUCUGGUGCGGUGGUACGACGCCAUUUUGUACGAUCGAGACAGUGAUUACCAGCGGAAGCUCGAGGACGUCGCUGUUGGAGGUGCUUGGAAGUCAUUGUUUGGCGUGACCUUGAGUUAAGUAGGCCAAAUAAGCUGGCAACGGCCGGAACAGGAGAAACGAUACAAAUUGGAAACGCGGUGCUAAUCGCGCAGCGCGGACAGCUUAAACCGCGACGUGAACGCCGGCACGGGCAUCCAAAUUUGAUGAUGCCGCUCGCGAAGCCGGUGACGAACGAAGCUGAAGACAACCUGGAGCUCGAGAUGGGAGAAGAUUUUGAGAUAUUGCGGGGCACCGGAUGCGGUGAAGGCCCGUUCCGAGGUUUUCCGGAACCGGUUCAACCAAGAGCGAGGAGACGGAAGCGGGAUGCCGCCGAGGCAGAUUUGCCAGAGAUUUGUCUUCGGCGUUCUAAACGCAUAAGGAAUCCAAAAGUGGACAGUGAAUUUAACUAUAACUAGUGAAUUGUAUUCGCGCUCUAAAUUUGUAUUAACUGAUACAUGAAUGAAUUCUAAACUAUGUUCUUUAUUUUAUUAUGUAAAACCAUUCCUAAGAAGGGAGAACUGAUGUGAACAUCCCUACUAUUUUUGAGAUCACACCAAUACUAAGGGAAACAAAUGACAAUGUGAACAGAGGUGAAGUAAUAAAGCCGAACGAUCGAGUCGUCCCUUUUCGAUUACGACCAGCAAGCAGA